GCCUGUAGUCCUGGCAGGUCACUUCCCCACUGCUGCAGAUACAUGACCUGCGCCUAUCUUGUGGGUCUUGGAAGUGCUCUGAGUGUCUAUAUAUGCGUCCCACAUAAAGGCAUUCAUCUAGGGGUACAAGAGGCACUGCCUUCAACAGAACCCUACAAAACAUUCCAACUGAAGUUCCACACCAGAACAUCGAGGGUGGCACUCUCCAGGAACCAGAUGAGGGUCGCUGCACUGAGAUGGGGGACGGGUCGUCAUCAAGCAUUGGACAUGGCCAUUCUGCAACAAAAACAAGGCGUCAAACUCUUAGGAUGACCACUGUAAACAAUACUGUACCUUUUCACAGAAAUCCAUUCUAAACACCACACCCACUACAUUAAACAUGUUGGAAGUUUGUAGCCUGUAUCUUAAA